rnacentral:rRNA from 1 species
ACGUGGGCAACCUGCCCCCGGCUCUGGGAUAACUCCAAGAAAUUGGGGCUAAUACCGGAUAUGACCGCUGGCCGCAUGGUCUGGUGGUGGAAAGUUUUUCGGCUGGGGAUGGGCCCGCGGCCUAUCAGCUUGUUGGUGGGGUAGUGGCCUACCAAGGCGACGACGGGUAGCCGGCCUGAGAGGGUGACCGGCCACACUGGGACUGAGACACGGCCCAGACUCCUACGGGAGGCAGCAGUGGGGAAUAUUGCACAAUGGGGGAAACCCUGAUGCAGCCAUGCCGCGUGUGUGAAGAAGGCC